AUCACACCCGGCUAAUUUGUGUAUUUUUAGUAGAGACAGGGUUUUGCCAUGUUGGCCAGACUGGUCUCAAACUUCUGACCUCAAAUAAUCCGCCUGCCUCAGCCUCCCCAAGUGCUGGGAUUACAGGUGUGAGUCACUGCACCCGGCCCAAAAGCAGUUUUUGACAAAAAAAUAAAAAGACAAAAUAUACAACCCUUGAUAAACAAAAAGGUACAAGGAGCCAUGAGGAAGAGAAAAGGUACCUGAGGAUGCAGAAGUACCUGCCACGUGGGAACCGUCUGUUCACACUCAUUGCAGAGAAAACCCGAGUCCUUUCAGCUGCACAUGCGUAUAUAUCAGCAGGAAAUGCUGGCCAUGACUCCAAAGCCUACAACCUUCACGUCAUGAAGGUUCUGGAAGGUUUUUCAGAUUGCUUAAGGUGGAGAGACUCGAAGCAUGCUGCUGGGGGAGCUGGACGGUGAAAUGCCGAAGAUCUCACGUCGCGUCUCAAAACACAGUCGGACUUGCUUUCUGCUUUAUGAUGUCCGUAGUUGUUCUAAUAUUAAAUGCUUUGAAUUUAUUUAUUGGUCAAGUUAUUUUAACUUGGGCAAGGCAUACAGUGAUAAUCCCCUGGUAUGCCACGGUUCCAGCUCUCUUCCCACUCCCUUGAAAUCUUACCUCCCACCAUGGUUUUGUUUUGUAAACCCACAGUCACGUGCGUUUUCCCAGAACUUCCACUACAGGGGCUCCCAGCCCAGGAUCCAGGAGACGUGCAACAUGGUACAGUAACUCAUCACCAACCGUCCUCAAUAGGUAUUCUUAGAACUGCAACUUAAAGCAAAAUGAGGUAUAAUGAAACUAAUUUUGGCUGGGCAAGGUGGCUCAGGCCUGUAAUCUCUGCACUUAGGGAGGCCGAGGCAGGCGGAUCACCUGAGGUCAGGAGUUCAAGACCAGCCUGGCCAACAUGGCAAAACCCCAUCUCUACAAAAAUUAGCCAGGUCUGGUGGUGCAUGCCUGUAAUCACAACUACUCGGGAGGCUGAGGCAGGAGAAUCGCUUGCAGCUGAGAGGCAGAGGUUGCAGUGAGCCGAGACCGCACCACUGCACUCCAGCCUGGGCAAUAGAGCGAGACUUUGUCUCAAAAAAAGAACUUGCAACUUUCAGCAAAAUGAUGUAUAAUGAAACCAAUUUUACUAUAGGCUAAUGGAUGUAAACGAGUUCCCACAGCAUAUUGCUGGCCAUAAAAAAUCACCAAACUUUAGAACUUGAAACCAAACACUUCUAAUAUUAAACAUUAAGUAGACAUGAGUUAUACAUACAUUUAAGAAAAAUUACUAAAAACAAGGUAAUUACCCACUUUUUGGUGACUUCAGUGGGUGUUGGCAGUUGUAGCAAUGGUGGGUUAUAUCACAAAAUAAAUGUUUGCAAAGCAAAAAUUGUCGGGAGCGCCUCCUUCCACCACAGGUCAAACACCAGAAGGGGCACUCCUGUACAGCGGCAUUUACUAUUGUGCAUUUGUAUGGUUAGGGGAGGCCAUUUUUAUUUUACAAUAAUUUUUUUUCGUUCCUCCUUUCAUUUUCCAACUCAGUUAUUCCAGUUCAAGGUGGUGGGCAACCAGAGCCUAUCCCAGCCGCUCAGUGUGCAAGGCAGGGACCCACUCUGGACAGGAUGCCCUCCCAUCCCAGGGCGCACACACCUCACACACACUCAGACUGCGACCAGACACCAGCAAACCUCACCUGCACAUCUUUGGGGCGUGGGAGGAAACGAGUGCCCAGAAAACUCACAGACCGGGAGGACGCCCAGACUAUACACAGGCAGUGGCCCCAGCAGGGAAUCAAUUUUGUUCUCAAUGUUAUAACAAAAUGACAUUGAAUAAAAUGAUGCCAUUCAAGGA